rnacentral:ncRNA from 1 species
ACCCGCUGAGUUUAAGCAUAUCAAUAAGCGGAGGAAAAGAAAUUUACAAGGAUUCCCUUAGUAACGGCGAUCGAACUAGGA